rnacentral:rRNA from 1 species
UACAGAGGGUGCAAGCGUUAAUCGGAAUUACUGGGCGUAAAGCGCGCGUAGGUGGAUCGGAAAGUUGGAUGUGAAAGCCCUGGGCUCAACCUGGGAACUGCAUUCAAAACUACCAAUCUAGAGUAUGGGAGAGGGAAGUGGAAUUUCUGGUGUAGUGGUGAAAUACGUAGAUAUCAGAAGGAACACCAAUGGCGAAGGCAACUUCCUGGCCUAAUACUGACACUGAGGUGCGAAAGCGUGGGGAGCAAACAGG